AACUCUAGCAUAGUGGUUUGAGCUUUGGACUGUGACUCUGGAGGCCAAGGUUCGAAUCCUGGCUCAGCCA
rnacentral:tRNA from 1 species